rnacentral:rRNA from 1 species
AGAACGACUCUCGGCAACGGAUAUCUCGGCUCUCACAUCGAUGAAGAACGUAGCGAAAUGCGAUACUUGGUGUGAAUUGCAGAAUCCCGUGAACCAUCGAGUCUUUGAACGCAAGUUGCGCCCGAAGCCUUCUGGCCGAGGGCACGUCUGUCUGGGCGUCACGC